rnacentral:rRNA from 1 species
UUCGCAAUGCCCGAAAGGGUGACGAAGCGACGCCGCGUAUGGGAUGAAGGCCCUCGGGUUGUAAACCACUGUCGGGAGUUAAGAAGUGUAAGGGGGUGAAUAGCCCUCUUACUUGACGUUAGCUCCGGAGGAAGCCACGGCUAACUCUGUGCCAGCAGCCGCGGUAAUACAGAGGUGGCAAGCGUUGUUCGGAAUUAUUGGGCGUAAAGAGCACGUAGGCGGCCCUACAAGUCAGCUGUGAAAUCCUUCUGCUCAACGGAAGAACGGCAGUUGAUACUAUAGGGCUGGAGUGCGGGAGGGGAGAGUGGAACUUCUGGUGGAGCGGUGAAAUGCGUAGAUAUCAGAAGGAACAUCGGCGGCGAAAGCGACUCUCUGGCCCGUAACUGACGCUGAGGUGCGAAAGCUAGGGGAGCAAACGGGAUUAGAUACCCCGGUAGUCCUAGCCGUAAACGAUGGGCACUAAGUAGAGGGGUUUU